rnacentral:rRNA from 1 species
UGGGGAAUAUUGCACAAUGGGCGCAAGCCUGAUGCAGCAACGCCGCGUGAACGAUGAAGGUCUUCGGAUCGUAAAGUUCUGUUGCAGGGGAAGAUAAUGACGGUACCCUGUGAGGAAGCCCCGGCUAACUACGUGCCAGCAGCCGCGGUAAUACGUAGGGGGCUAGCGUUAUCCGGAAUCACUGGGCGUAAAGGGUUCGCAGGCGGAAUAACAAGUCAGAUGUGAAAGGCAUGGGCUCAACCCAUGUAAGCAUUUGAAACUGUAAUUCUUGAGAAGUGGAGAGGUAAGUGGAAUUCCUAGUGUAGCGGUGAAAUGCGUAGAUAUUAGGAGGAAUACCUGUGGCGAAAGCGGCUUUUUGGCCUGCAACUGACACUGAGGCGCGAAAGCGUGGGGAGCAAACAGG